rnacentral:lncRNA from 10 species
CAAACUAGUAUAUUUGCAUAUUACAUAGCACAUACAAUUAUUAGUAUAUAAACAAUUCCAACAAAUUAAUGAGAAAAUGUAAUAACCUAAUUUUUUAAAUGAGCAAAUAAUAUGAGUAGGCAAUUUAUGGGAGAAACUUGAAUAACCAAUAAACGUGAAAAAUUGGUUAAUCUCAUUAGCUGUCAGAUAAAACUAAAACAACAUUAAGUUGACACUUUACACUCAUUGGCUUGGCAAAGAAAACAUUUCAAUCUGACAACACAGAAUAUUGGUAAGAAUGUGGGAGAAGAAGAGCUCUUAAAAAUCAUUAGUAAAGAGUAAAUUUCUAUAAUCACUUUGACAAACAAUUUAGCAUCACUUAAUAAAGAUGAUAACACACAUAACAUACAAUCUAGGUUGUUCCACUUCUAGUUACAGAUCCUGGAGAAUGUCUCCAGUAUGUGUAAAAUGGAAAUAGACACAGGCAUUCAUUGUACCACUUUUGUAAGUAUAUAAAAGGACUAACAACCUAACUUGAUGAGUGACUAGAUAAAUAAAGUGUGGCUUACCAUAGAAUAGAAUACCAUGUAGCAGUUAGAAUAAGGGUACUGGAUACAAGUCAACAUGGAAAAAUCUUUAGAAAAUGAUCUGUGUUAAAAGCAAGUUGCAGAAUGCCACUGCUCAGAUUCCCUAGGAAACAGACCCUGUGACCAUGAGAAGCAUACAGAAAGUUUAUUAGGGAGUGUCUUCAGGAUUAACACCUGCGAGGAGCUGGGCACAGUGGCUCAUGACUGUAAUCCCAGCACCUUAGGAGGCUGAGGUGGGUGAAUAGCUUGAGCCCAGGAGUUUGAAACAAGCCUGGCAAUACUGUGCAACUACAUCUCUACAAAAAAUUUAAAACUAGCCAUUGCAUGGUGCCAAACGCUUGUGGUCCCAGCUACUUGGGAAGUUGAGGUGGGAGGAUUGCUUGAGCCUGAGAGGUGGAGGUUGCAGUAAGUUGAGAUUGCACCAGUACACUCCAGCCUAGGUGACAGAGAAAGACCUUGUCUCAACAACAACAACAAAACAAAACAACAAGAACAAUGACAAAACAAAACCCUGCAAGGAGUGAGGAAAGCGAGACUGGCAGAGGGAGAAGUUAAACCACAGUGUAGUUGCAGCAGAGGCUUCAGUCAAGCCUGUGGGGAGCUCUGGAGCUGGGAUCUCCCUUUAGAGUAGCCCUGAGUUGAGGCAAGAAGGCCAGAUCUUCCUAUUGAAGAAGGAAUAGGAAUUGUUUAUUUACUAAUAACUGUAUGUGCUAUGCAAAUAUACUGGUUUGUAUCUUGCUUUUUCACUAUAUAAUUUCAUUUAUUGUGCAGAGGUAUUUUUUAAAUUUUAAGAUAUUCAAGUUCAUUUUCGUUUUGUGAUUUAUAUUUUAAAAUCUUAUUUAAUAAAUACUUCCCUACUCCAAUGUCAUAAAUGCCCUAUCCCCUCUCCCAGUCAAUGGUCAGUGGAUGCUUGUAGGGAGGGUGUGUGACUUUGGGCAAGGCUUAUGGCCAAAGGGAAUUCUUGGUGAGAGAUUCAACUGGAAGCUAUUCUAAGCUUACAUCUCCAAAUGAGGGAGCAAGUGCCUUGUCCUGAAGAUCUGGUGGGCCAUGCCACAGUGUCUACCACCCAGAAUGAUCUGAUUAGUAUUAAUAUAAUAUUUGUGUCAUUUUACAAACACACAAAAAGCAAUACGCUAGUUAUGUAUAUAUAAAUACAUUAAAAAUUGCAAACACUUGUAUGGGAAUUAUACAUCAAUUUCACCAUCAUGGGUACUAAUGAGGGAAAAUGGAGGUAGAGACGGAGGUAGGGAUGAGGUAUCUGAGGCUUCAGCCAUUCCUUUAAUAUUUAUUCCAAGAAAGAUGGGAGGAGAAGAGAGAGUUAAAACAAACAUGACAAAAUGUAAAAAUCAGUUCAAUAUUAUGAUACGGUGAAGAUAGGAAUAUGUGAUUAUUUUUGUACUUUUCUAUGUCUGAAUACUUCAUUAUUUAACCCUAAAAGAAAAUAUUAGAGAAUAUGUCUCAGAGAAAUAAGAACUUGAGAGUCAUUCUGUUAGGCCUUAAGUGGUCAUUGGGAGAGCAGAGAUUGACAUUCUGUGAAUAGGGCUCAGGGUCUUAACUGUAAAAUAAAUUAGAUUAUUUUAAGACUACCUCCAAUUUGGAAGAAAGACUUUCAAUUUUAUGAAUGUUUUGAUAAAAUCACAGCUGUUGGUCAAUGAAAGCUUUAAUUCUGUGAAGAGUGAAAUAGUCCUCCAAUUGGAUCAGCUCUUUAGUUUUUACAAUCAAGUGUCAACUUUGUUCUUAGCUGUACCUAAGGCAUAUAGACCACUUUCAGCAAGCAUUCACUAGAUUGACCAGCUAUUAUAAACUAGGCACUGUUCUAGGCACUCGAGAUAAGACAGAAAACAAAACAGAUUUUUAAAAAGUUCUACUUUCCCUGUUAAAAGAAUGAAAAGACAAGUCACAGAGUGGAAGACAAUAUUUACAAAACACAUCUGAUAAAGGACUUAUAUCAAAAAUAUGAAGAGAACUCUUAAAACAGCAUUAAGAAAGCAAACGAUGCAACUUAAAAAUGGGCAAAAGAUCAAAACAGAAACUUCACUAAAGGUGGUGAGGAUGUGGAGCAGCAGGAACUCUUAUUCAUUGCUGGUAGAAGUGCAAAAUGGUACAGCCACUUUGGAAAACAGUCUAGCAGUUUCUUACAAGCUAAGCGUAGUCUUACCAUACAAUCCAGCAAUUACACGCUUUGGUGUCUAUCCAAAUGAGUUGAAAAUGUGUGUCCACAAAAAACCCUGCACACAAAUGUUUAUAGCAGCUUUAUUCAUCAUUACCAAAACUUAGAGGCAACCAAGAUGGCUUCAGUAGGUGAAUGAAUAACUAAAUUGUGAUAUAUCCAGACAAUACAAUAUGAUAUGGUAAUGAAAAGAAAUUAGCUGUCAAGCCACAAAAAGAUGUGGAGGAAAUUUAAAGGCAUAUUGCUAAGUGAAAGAAGCCUGUCUGAAAAGACAACGUGCUGUAUGAUUCCAACUGUAAGACAUUCUAGAAAAGGCAAAACUAUAGAGACAGUGAAAAGAUCAGAAGUUGCCAGUGGUUCAGGGAUGGAGGGAAGAGGGAUGAAUAGGUGGAGCACAGGGGAUUUUUUAGGAUCACCUAUGUGAUCCUGUAAUAUGGAUACAUGACAUUAUACAUUUGCCAAAACCCAUAAGACUGUACGAAACAAAGAGUAAACUUACGUUAAUAAUAAUGCAUAAAGAUCAGUUCAUCAGUUGUAGCAAAUGUACCACACUAAUGCAAGAUAUUAAUAACAAGGGAAAUUUAGGGGGGUUAGGGUGAGAUGGGAAAGGGCAUUAAGGAAACUCUAUGUACUUUCUACUCAAUUUUUCUCUAAAAUUAAAACUGAUCUAAAAAAUAAAGUCUACUAAUUAAAAAAAAAGAAUCCUUGUCUUUGUGGAGCAUACACAAUGGUUGGGGGAAAUAAGUAAUGUGUUUAUAGAAGAUGGAAAUACUAAUACAUUCCAUGGAGGAAGGAAAAAAGCAGAGAAAGCCAAUAGAGAGUGAGGAGUUGCCAUUUUAAUUGGAUGACAUGGAAGGCUUCCAUGAGAAAGGACAUUUAAGAAUCAAUAAAAAACUCAAAAUGCUUCCACUGGAUGGGCACGCCAGACCUCAUUUUCAAUGAAGCAUCUGUCAGAGGCUCAGGAAAACACUAGUGAAAGGGUAGAUUAGAUGACAACACUUAACCCUUGAUCAGUGUUAACAGUACUAAAAAUGGGACCACGAGACCUCAUGUGCCGCCUGAUGGAAUGCAAUCGGAAACACGCGAUAGUACCUAUGGAGUAUUUGCCAAAAUAAAUGCAUCUGAAUCUAAGCAAGCUUCACACUCAGGCAGCAAGCUCAUGAAAAAUACAAAGGAACAAGUUAUUAGAUUAAUGGGUUGAAUGAGAAUGCGAUCAGCAAAAUCUGGCAUGCCGGAAGUUCUACAGGACAAAUGAACCAAUGUCUUCAACAAACAAAAAAACGGCUAAAAAUGGGGAAGUGGGAACUUUCAUAGAUUAGAAAAUACCUAAGAGACAUUUCAACCAAAUGCAAUUUGUGGACUUUACUCUGUGAUUUCAACAGGACUGUAAAAUAUAUUUGAGAAAAUUGGGGACAUUUGAACACGGACUGCGUAAUAGGUGAAAUAAUAGAAUUAAUGUUAAUUUUGUCAGGUAUGAUAAUGGAAUGGUGGGUUUGUGGUUUUUAAAAAUGCUCAUCUGUUCGAUUUAUAUACUACUGACUUAAUUAUGGAUAAAACAAUAUGACAUCAAAAAAGGUGAAUAAUAGAUAAAGCAAGAUGGACAACUGGGGCUGGACCUGUGCUUGGUGGGUCCUUGGUGUACCUGGUGGGUCCUGAGCACCACCCCGGUGGUUCUAGGUGUGCCCUGUCAAAUUCCUGAAAACUCCUCUUAUAAAUGUGCAAAUAUUUAUAAUCAGUUUUUUUUUUUUAAUAAAAAGAGUCUAACAUUCUAUGGCGACAUUAUGUGUAAAAAAAUUCCUUUGGAUCAGUUAUGUGAAAUAUUUUUUAAAAACCAAGAAAAAUGUUAAAAAUUGUUGAAUUUGAAUAUUGUGUCAAUGGGGUUCAUUAUACUGUCUUUCUACUUUUGGAUGUUUGAGAAUUUCCUUAAUAGAACAAUUUUGAAAGUCUAGGAAUACUAAGAGAUAUUAGAAAAUUAAAAGCAACAGUCUAAGACUGAUUUUCAAGGUGUUUUGUUUUGGGUUAAAGACAAUUUCUUUUAAAAGGCAAUUAUGGACAAGUCAAAUAUGCACAACAGAUACAUUUGGAACUACCUGACUGUGAUGGAGUCACUCUUCUCUCCUCUGCCCCCAGAGAUACAGCACAUACAGUUUGAAGUUAGUUCAAUUAAGGUUUGAUCAUCUGAAAGCUAUAUACCUGGAU